rnacentral:tRNA from 1 species
GCGCACGUGGUGAAAUUGGUAGACACGCCAGCUUGAGGGGCUGGUGAGCUCACGCUCGUGGAAGUUCGAAUCUUCUCGUGCGCA